UACGUAGGCAGCGAGCGUUGUUCGGAGUUACUGGGCGUAAAGGGUGUGUAGGCGGCCCUGUAAGUCCGCUGUGAAAGUCAAGGGCUCAACCCCUUGAAUGCCGGUGGAUACUGCAGGGCUAGAGUCCGGAAGAGGCGAGUGGAAUUCCUGGUGUAGCGGUGAAAUGCGCAGAUAUCAGGAGGAACACCGAUGGCGAAGGCAGGUCUCUGGGCCACUACUGACGCUGAGAAGCGAA
rnacentral:rRNA from 1 species